rnacentral:lncRNA from 1 species
CAGUGUCUUAAUAUGCCUACCAGCAUAUCUUGGGGGCUAUUGUUUACUUUAAGAUUAUACUACUAGUCACAGAGACAGGAAGUUCUUUGUUCUUCUCCACCUAUGUUCUGGGAGAAGCAAACUCCAGUCAUUCUGAAUGUCGAAGUGAUGCAGUAAGGUCCGAGUUACAUAACAUUGCAGCAGAAAGUUUUAGUUAUUUUGUGGAACAAACUACAGGCCCAAUUCGAUUGUUAUCUGAAGGUUUACCGGAGAUAGUAAUUAACCUGAAGGUUGUACCGAAGAUAUGAAAGUGAAGUUACGAGUUGCUGAAUAAAACAGAAGUUGGUUGGACUUUA